AUUGAACGCUGGCGGCAGGCCUAACACAUGCAAGUCGAGCGAGCGGCGGACGUGUGAGUAAUGUAUGGGGCUCUGCCCGAUAGAGGGGGAUAACUACUGGACACUGUGGCUACUACCGCAUACUAUCGGAUGAACCCCUAUGGGAUUAGCUAGUGGGUGGGGUAAAGGCUCACCUAGGCGACGAUCUCUAGCUGGUCUGAGAGGAUGAUCAGCCACACUGGAACUGAGACACGGCCCAGACUCCUACGGGAGGCAGCAGUGGGGAAUAUUGCACAAUGGGCGAAAGCCUGAUGCAGCCAUGCCGCGUGUAUGAAGAAGGUCUUAGGGUUGUAAAGUACUUUCAGCGGGGAGGCGUUACCCGCAGAAGAAGCACCGGCUAACUCCGUGCCAGCAGCCGCGGUAAGUC
rnacentral:rRNA from 1 species